rnacentral:rRNA from 1 species
AGCGAACGCUGGCGGCAGGCUUAACACAUGCAAGUCGAGCGGGCACUUUCGGGUGUCAGCGGCGGACGGGUGAGUAACGCGUGGGAACGUGUCCUCUGGUUCGGAAUAACUCAGGGAAACUUGAGCUAAUACCGGAUACGCCCUUUUGGGGAAAGGCUUGCUGCCGGAGGAUCGGCCCGCGUCUGAUUAGCUAGUUGGUGAGGUAACGGCUCACCAAGGCGACGAUCAGUAGCUGGUCUGAGAGGAUGAUCAGCCACACUGGGACUGAGACACGGCCCAGACUCCUACGGGAGGCAGCAGUGGGGAAUAUUGGACAAUGGGCGCAAGCCUGAUCCAGCCAUGCCGCGUGAGUGAUGAAGGCCUUAGGGUUGUAAAGCUCUUUUAUCCGGGACGAUAAUGACGGUACCGGAGGAAUAAGCCCCGGCUAACUUCGUG